AUUGAACGCUGGCGGCAGGCUUAACACAUGCAAGUCGAGCGGGGUGAUGGUGCUUGCACUAUCACUUAGCGGCGGACGGGUGAGUAAUGCUUAGGAAUCUGCCUAUUGGUGGGGGACAACAUCUCGAAAGGGAUGCUAAUACCGCAUACGUCCUACGGGAGAAAGCAGGGGAUCACUUGUGACCUUGCGCUAAUAGAUGAGCCUAAGUCGGAUUAGCUAGUUGGUGGGGUAAAGGCCUACCAAGGCGACGGUCGGUAGCGGGUCUGAGAGGAUGAUCCGCCACACUGGGACUGAGACACGGACCAGACUCCUACGGGAGGCAGCAGGGGGGAAUAUUGGACAAUGGGGGGAACCCUGAUCCAGCCAUGCCGCGUGUGUGAAGAAGGCCUUAUGGUUGUAAAGCACUUUAAGCGAGGAGGAGGCUCUUUUGGUUAAUACCCAAGAUGAGUGGACGUUACUCGCAGAAUAAGCACCGGCUAACUCUGUGCCAGCCGCCGCGGUAA
rnacentral:rRNA from 1 species